rnacentral:rRNA from 1 species
GACGAACGUUGGCGGCGUGCUUAAUACAUGCAAGUCAACUGAAGCAGUGGUAGCAAUAUCGCUGCGGAGGUGGCGCACGGGUGAGUAACACGUAGGUAAUCUGCCUUCAGGUCUGGCAUAACUCCGGGAAACCGGGGCUAAUAGCAGAUGAUGCAGCGGCUCGACAUCGAGACAGUUGUUAAAGCUAUGGCGCCUGAAGAUGAGCCUGCGUCUGAUUAGCUAGUUGGCGGGGUAACGGCCCACCAAGGCAACGAUCAGUAGCUGGUCUGAGAGGAUGAUCAGCCACACUGGAACUGAGACACGGUCCAGACUCCUACGGGAGGCAGCAGUAAGGAAUAUUGCUCAAUGGGAGAAAUCCUGAAGCAGCAACGCCGCGUGAGGGACGAAGGGCUUUUGCUUGUAAACCUCUGUAGUGAGAGAAAAAAAUCCCAAUCUUUGGGACAUGAUGGUAUCUCAAAAGUAAGCCCCGGCUAACUACGUG